rnacentral:misc_RNA from 1 species
AACACUGUUAACCUGCGGUACCUGCGGAGGGAUCAUUAUAGUAUAUGGAAUCUCCAUUCUAUAAACCCACUCUGCGUAUCUUGUAACUGUUGCUUCCAUGGGACUUGGUUCCGCCACACCGGCUUCACGGCUGGUGAGCGCCCAUGGAAGGAGAAACAAAGCUCUUCUUUGAAAUGUAGUCAGUCUGAACAAGUUUUUAUAAACGUUAAAACUUUCAACAACGGAUCUCAGAUCGGAAGA